GUGCUAGCUUCGGCAGCACGUAUACUAAAACUGGAAUGAUACAUAGAAGAUUAGCAUGGUCCCUGCGCAAAGAUGACACACACAUUUGUAAAGUGUUCCAUAUUUUU
rnacentral:snRNA from 1 species